UAAAGAAGUACCUUAGAAUAGUUAUUUGAUGCCAUUGGGCAAAAGAUGUCUAUUAAAAUACAAAAACAAAGAACAACAAAAACUGUAAGCACAUAUUUUUGAAUCACUGUAAAUGCUCAGAAGCAUUUUUAUUGAGUGGAUUCACUCUUUUGUCAAAACCAAGCCUUCAGUUUUAAAGGUAUGUACUUUCAGAGAUGAUCUGUAGAAACAUGUUCAUUGCAGGGUAAACCACACCCUGGUGCAGCGAGAUUUACAGCAUGCCUCAUUCACCAGGCAAUAAGAAGAGGAAAGAACAGCUCUAAAGUUUAAUCUAUUCUGUAGCGGAAAUAUUUAUGCACUGAUGUUCCCAAAUAUUUAGAAGAAUUUUCUGUGAAUUUUACUCAAGGGCAGCACAUGAGGCUAUUUUCUUCCCUCCUUUAAGGUUUUCCUCCAGAACCAGUUCUUCCCAUCAGUAGUUGCCAAGACAGAGGUACAGCUUCUUGAAGUGCUUAUUAAGCAGUUUACCAAGGGAAAAGAGGAGCAGGGGAUUCGUGGUCAACAAGAGCAGAGGAUGGAGAGAUGAUCUGAAAGAAUAACUAGAACAUUAAUCAGUGGGAUCUCCAGCACCCUUCCUCCCCAGAAGGAUUUUGACUGCUACACAGUUUGAGUUUUUGUGAGCACACCAGGAACAGAAUUUGGUAUAGCAGUUGAUCUGAAUCUGUGGCACAGAAGUGAGGGCAGCAGAAAGUAGCCCAGGGAGUCUGACACUCUCCCUCUUAUGAUGGCAUUGGAAAGUAUCCAGUCGUACCUGCUUUCUUCUGCAGAUCUCAAAGAUUCAUACGAAAGAAAACUGUCCAUCAUGAGAAGAGAGAAUGACGACAUGACCUUUAGGAAUAUCACCCACAUCAGGAAACCAUUAUGUCAGCUGAGUGAAGGUACAUUUCAUUGGUGCAUGAAUGGAAAUUUAAAAGGUUUGUCAUUAAAUAUUGGUGAAAAUGGAAACAUCAUCUAUGCUUUCAUCUUUACACGAUGAAUGCAGAUCAGACAAUUACAUUGAACCUCAUUACAAGGAAUGGUAUCGUGUAGCUAUUGAUGCUUUAAUUGAAGGAGGUUUAGAAGCCUACCAAGAAUUUCUU
rnacentral:lncRNA from 1 species